UGGGGAAUAUUGGACAAUGGGGGGAACCCUGAUCCAGCCAUGCCGCGUGUGUGAAGAAGGCCUUAUGGUUGUAAAGCACUUUAAGCGAGGAGGAGGGUACUGGUAUUAAUACUACCAGGUACUGGACGUUACUCGCAGAAUAAGCACCGGCUAACUCUGUGCCGGCAGCCGCGGUAAUACAGAGGGUGCGAGCGUUAAUCGGAUUUACUGGGCGUAAAGCGUGCGUAGGCGGCUAAUUGAGUCGGAUGUGAAAUCCCCGAGCUUAACUUGGGAAUUGCAUUCGAUACUGGUUAGCUAGAGUGUGGGAGAGGAUGGUAGAAUUCCAGGUGUAGCGGUGAAAUGCGUAGAGAUCUGGAGGAAUACCGAUGGCGAAGGCAGCCAUCUGGCCUAACACUGACGCUGAGGUACGAAAGCAUGGGGAGCAAACAGG
rnacentral:rRNA from 1 species